UACGUAGGGUGCGAGCGUUGUCCGGAAUUAUUGGGCGUAAAGAGCUCGUAGGCGGUGUGUCACGUCGGCCGUGAAAACCUGCAGCUUAACUGUGGGCGUGCGGUCGAUACGGGCAGGCUAGAGUUCGGUAGGGGAGACUGGAAUUCCUGGUGUAGCGGUGAAAUGCGCAGAUAUCAGGAGGAACACCGGUGGCGAAGGCGGUUCUCUGGGCCUUACCUGACGCUGAGGAGCGAAAGCGUGGGGAGCGAACAGG
rnacentral:rRNA from 1 species